UACGUAGGGGGCAAGCGUUGUCCGGAAUCAUUGGGCGUAAAGAGCGUGUAGGCGGCUCGGUAAGUCCGCUCUGAAAGCCCGGGGCUCAACCCCGGGAGGCGGGCGGAUACUGUCGAGCUAGAGUCCGGAAGAGGCGAGUGGAAUUCCUGGCGUAGCGGUGAAAUGCGCAGAUAUCAGGAGGAACACCAAUGGCGAAGGCAGCUCGCUGGGACGGUACUGACGCUGAGACGCGAAAGCGUGGGGAGCAAACAGG
rnacentral:rRNA from 1 species